UCCUUGGUGGUCUAGUGGUUAAGACUCUGCACUCCCAAUGAAGGGAGCCUGGGUUCAGUCCCUGGUCAAGGAA
rfam:TPA: Bos taurus chromosome 18, whole genome shotgun sequence.